GGGUAAGGAGGCGAACCGGGGGAACUGAAACAUCUAAGUACCCCGAGGAAAAGAAAUCAACCGAGAUUCCGAAAGUAGCGGCGAGCGAAAUUGGACUAGCCCUUAAGCUUUACACGCGUUAGACGAACGGUCUGGAAAGUCCGACGAUACAGGGUGAUAGUCCCGUAGUUGACGACGUGUGUUCAGUGAAAUCGAGUAGGGCGGGACACGUGAUAUCCUGUCUGAAUAUGGGGGGACCAUCCUCCAAGGCUAAAUACUACUGACUGACCGAUAGUGAACCAGUACCGUGAGGGAAAGGCGAAAAGAACCCCUGUGAGGGGAGUGAAAUAGAACCUGAAACCGUGUACGUACAAGCAGUAGGAGCAGGCUUUGUCCUGUGACUGCGUACCUUUUGUAUAAUGGGUCAGCGACUUAUAUUCAGUGGCAAGGUUAACCAUCUAGGGGAGCCGUAGGGAAACCGAGUCUUAACUGGGCGUUCAGUCUCUGGAUAUAGACCCGAAACCAGGUGAUCUAGCCAUGGGCAGGUUGAAGGUUGAGUAACAUCAACUGGAGGACCGAACCGACUAAUGUUGAAAAAUUAGCGGAUGACUUGUGGCUAGGGGUGAAAGGCCAAUCAAACCUGGAGAUAGCUGGUUCUCCCCGAAAGCUAUUUAGGUAGCGCCUCGGACGAAUACUACUGGGGGUAGAGCACUGUUAAGGCUAGGGGGUCAUCCCGACUUACCAACCCUUUGCAAACUCCGAAUACCAGUAAGUACUAUCCGGGAGACACACGGCGGGUGCUAACGUCCGUCGUGGAGAGGGAAACAACCCAGACCGCCAGCUAAGGUCCCAAAUUACUACUAAGUGGGAAACGAUGUGGGAAGGCUCAGACAGCCAGGAUGUUGGCUUAGAAGCAGCCAUCAUUUAAAGAAAGCGUAAUAGCUCACUGGUCGAGUCGGCCUGCGCGGAAGAUGUAACGGGGCUAAGUAGUAAACCGAAGCUGCGGCAAUGUGCUUUUGCACAUUGGGUAGGGGAGCGUUCUGUAAGCGGUUGAAGGUGUGUGGUAACGCAUGCUGGACGUAUCAGAAGUGCGAAUGCUGACAUGAGUAACGAUAAAGGGGGUGAAAAACCUCCUCGCCGGAAGACCAAGGGUUCCUGUCCAACGUUAAUCGGGGCAGGGUAAGUCGACCCCUAAGGCGAGGCCGAAAGGCGUAGUCGA
rnacentral:rRNA from 1 species